GACGAACGCUGGCGGCGUGCUUAACACAUGCAAGUCGAACGGAAAGGCCCUGCUUUUGUGGGGUGCUCGAGAGGCGAACGGGUGAGUAACAUGAGAGUACCCUGCCCUUGACUUUGGGAUAACUUCAGGAAACUGGGGCCAAUAACGGAUAAGCGCCCCUGCUGCAUGGUGGGGGUUGGAAAGUUUCGGCGGUUGGGGAUGGACUCGCGGCGUAUCAGCUUGUUGGUGGGGUAGUGGCUUACCAAGGCUUUGACGGGUAGCCGGCCUGAGAGGGUGACCGGCCACAUUGGGACUGAGAUACGGCCCAGACUCCUACGGGAGGCAGCAGUGGGGAAUAUUGCACAAUGGGCGGAAGCCUGAUGCAGCAACGCCGCGUGCGGGAUGACGGCCUUCGGGUUGUAAACCGCUUUCGCCUGUGACGAAGCGUGAGUGACGGUAAUUGGUGAAGAAGCACCGGCUAACUACGUG
rnacentral:rRNA from 1 species